rnacentral:lncRNA from 1 species
CAUUCUCUGAAUUUCUCUCACACGUAUUUUUCCUCCUUAUUUGCCACUGUCUUCUUUCUAGUUCCUCAUUAACUUGUCUGUGAUUGCUACACACUUGACUUGUACAAACAAAAUUAUUCAUUAUGCUUUGGUUCUAAAUAUAUCAGAAAAAUGUUUAGACUUACUUUUAAUGUUUGCUAUAGGGAGGUAACUGUCAAGCUGCUGCACUGAAGAUUAAAAAUCAUAUUGAGAUUUUUAUGGUGUCGGGGGAAAAUGACAAGAUUUGAAGUGAGAAGUUAUUCCUUAACACCCUGUUAUGUUUAUCCAAGUUUACCUACAUGGAAAAAUAGUUAAUAGUAAGAACAAUCAUUACCUUCUGUCCCUGACAUUUUUAAUUACUUCCCACAAUUAUCUAGCAUUUUCACAUUUCGGAUGAAUAAUAAAGCAAUUCAACAGUAACAGCAAUCUGAUUUUUUUUUUUUUUUUUUUUUUUGCAUUGAAGGAGAGGAAAAACAAUACAGGAAAUCUGCCUCCUAUAAUCAAAGAGUUGAAUUUUCGUCUUAUUGGAAAUGUGUUUCAACCCAAGUACUUAGAAGUCUUGUUCUUUGUUGCUUUCCCAGGUGGUUAAUAUGCAGUAUCUUUGGCUUCUCCUCCAGGCAAAGAGAAAGGGAUUCAUAACAUGGAGCCAAAAAGAAACACAACCCUUCUUCACUCCACGGGAAUUGCUUCACUAACACUUCCAAUUAAAGUUUAUCUCCUGCUUAAAGUAGUAUUGGAUUAUAACCCAAAGUAUGAAAUAAGCACCUGAGUCCCUGCUAAUCAUGACAAAAACAUCAGCACAGGGUCUCACUGUGUUUCCGAGGCUGGAGUGCAUUGGCAUGAUCACAGUUCACUGUGGCCUCAACCUCCUGGGCUCAAGGGAUCCUCCUGCUUCAGCCUCCCUUAGUACCUAAGACUGAGACUAUAGGCACAUGCCACCAUAUCCAGUUAAUUAAAAAAUCUUUUUUGUGUAUUUGGGGCUCGGUUUCCCUGUGUUGCCCAGGCUUAUUUAGAAUGCUUAGGUUAAAGCGAUUCUCCUGGCCUCAACCUCCCAAAGUGUUGGGAUUAUAGACAUGAGCCAUGGUGCCCAGCCAAAAAUUUUCUAUUUCAAAAAUACAUUGGAGACAUUUUCUU